rnacentral:rRNA from 1 species
UACGAAGGGGGCUAGCGUUGCUCGGAAUCACUGGGCGUAAAGCGUACGUAGGCGGCUUUUUAAGUCAGAGGUGAAAUCCUGGAGCUCAACUCCAGAACUGCCUUUGAUACUGGAGAGCUUGAGUCCGGGAGAGGUGAGUGGAACUGCGAGUGUAGAGGUGAAAUUCGUAGAUAUUCGCAAGAACACCAGUGGCGAAGGCGGCUCACUGGCCCGGUACUGACGCUGAGGUGCGAAAGCGUGGGGAGCAAACAGG